rnacentral:rRNA from 1 species
ACGAACGCUGGCGGCGUGCUUAACACAUGCAAGUCGAACGAAGCUUGACGAAUGAUUUCUUCGGAAUGAAUUCCGAUAUGACUGAGUGGCGGACGGGUGAGUAACGCGUGAGGAACCUGCCCUUCAGAGGGGGAUAGUGUUUGGAAACGAACAGUAAUACCGCAUAAUGUAUUUUUACCGCAUGAUAGAAAUACCAAAGAUUUAUCGCUGAAGGAUGGCCUCGCGUCUGAUUAGAUAGUUGGUGGGGUAACGGCCUACCAAGUCGACGAUCAGUAGCCGGACUGAGAGGUUGGACGGCCACAUUGGGACUGAGACACGGCCCAGACUCCUACGGGAGGCAGCAGUGGGGAAUAUUGCACAAUGGGGGAAACCCUGAUGCAGCAACGCCGCGUGAAGGAAGACGGUUUUCGGAUUGUAAACUUCUGUUCUUAGUGAAGAAAAAUGACGGUAGCUAAGGAGCAAGCCACGGCUAACUACGUGCCAGCAGCCGCGGUAAUACGCAGGUGGCAAGCGUUGUCCGGAAUUACUGGGUGUAAAGGGGGCGCAGGCGGGAGAGCAAGUCAGUUGUGAAAUCCAUGGGCUUAACCCAUGAACUGCAGUUGAAACUGUUCUUCUUGAGUGAAGUAGAGGUUGGCGGAAUUCCGAGUGUAGCGGUGAAAUGCGUAGAUAUUCGGAGGAACACCGGUGGCGAAGGCGGCCAACUGGGCUUUUACUGACGCUGAGGCCCGAAAGUGUGGGGAGCAAACAGGAUUAGAUACCCUGGUAGUCCACACUGUAAACGAUGAUAACUAGGUGUGGGGGGACUGACCCCUUCUGUGCCGCAGCUAACGCAAUAAGUUAUCCACCUGGGGAGUACGACCGCAAGGUUGCAACUCAAAUGAAUUGACGGA